CCUUUAGGAAGCCGGCAGAGACUCUCCUCGGCGCCAGAGGAUUGCCAGCUACCCCUUGUGGUAACAUUGGUUCUCGGCUCUCAGAAAUUGUACAAAAGGUCACCCACUUUCAGCAUCUCCAGUGCAGACUGUGCCUCAGUCAGUCAUCAUUCUCGUGCACGUGAACAGCCCAUGCCAAUCACCCCUCUUUCUGGACCAAUCACUGACCUCAGCCCCUCCGUGUGGAGUACCAUAGCAGAGCAGGCGGCUGCACGUUUCCCCUCAUUCUCAGGACUGUUGUUGUUCGUUAUUCUGUGCGUCCACGAGAACAAACCACACACAUCCUAACAUCACAGAACAAAUAUCAAUGUGCACCAUCCUCUGGCUUCAUCUGAGUGAAUAAGCAAUAAGUGUGACUGGAGUAAUUUCUUCAUCUUCCUGUUCUAACCGGACAACCUGUGGCGUCUGCAGAUAUAUUAACCAAAUAUUCCAAGUCAUUCAUCACUGAGGUCACAAGAGUGUGCCUCACUCAUCCGCCUCACCACAGCCCAGCCUGAGCACUCUCUCACAGGACCCCCCCCCCCCACAUAAUUCUUAUUUAUCCAAUGCUUGAUUAGUUUUGUCCUUUAAUAUAAACUGAUGUAAAGGAGGUUGAUUUAAUAAUAUCUAAUCUUUUGUUGAUAAAUUCUCAAACAUUUCAGUGCAUGACACCAAACAGAAUAAUCAAAGGUGUUAACCAUCCAAAGAAUCAUACAUGCAGUUUAAUGUAGAUAUUUACCAUGAUGAUAAAGACUUUAAGAAUUAAAUAAUUCCUCUGUUGUCAGUAAGAUGAAAGUUUUUUAAAUAGUUUCAACGUUAACAGACUACUUUCACAUAAAAAGACUUGAAGAUGACGUUUAAAUAAGACAGUAAUUCAAACAGGAGUCUUGAGCCUGCAUUCUAUAAAAUGUCCAGCAGGGGGCGACAAUGUAUUCUUACAAAUAGAAGCUUCAAAGGAAUAAGGAUCAGUUAACAGCAGACUGUAAAACUAAGGGAUGGUUUUGAUUAAGAACAGUUUAAAGAAAACUAGAAGACUUUAUUUUGAAUAGUUUAAAAUAUGUUUAGAAGAAAUGUGGGGAUAAACAUGUUUACUCUGGGUUCUGCCUGUUAAAGGCAGUGUUUUUUUUGUUUGUUUGUUUCUGGAAACAUUUGUUCUUAUUCUGAACUGCCUGAUUUACUGACUGACUUAUUAAUGUUUCUAUAAUGUAGCAUUUACUGGACGUUUAAAAGACUAUUACUAAUAAAAGGUCAUAUACUGUA